rnacentral:rRNA from 1 species
ACGGAGGGUGCGAGCGUUAAUCGGAAUUACUGGGCGUAAAGCGCACGCAGGCGGUUUGUUAAGCUAGAUGUGAAAGCCCCGGGCUCAACCUGGGAAUAGCAUUUAGAACUGGCAGGCUAGAGUCUUGGAGAGGGGAGUGGAAUUUCUGGUGUAGCGGUGAAAUGCGUAGAUAUCAGAAGGAACAUCAGUGGCGAAGGCGACUCCCUGGCCAAAGACUGACGCUCAUGUGCGAAAGUGUGGGUAGCGAACAGG